GCUCCAACAGUGUUUGUAAUACCCUGAGUCCAAACAAAUUCAAGGAGAAACUUCUUAUUUACUCUGCAAUAAGAUAUUUUUCUUUAGACGUUCACGAGAAGCUUUAGCUUCAGUGACGAGCAUUUAAAUAUUCAAUUGGUCCUGGAUUUAACUGGGUUGUGUGAAAUGAAAUGGGUCUCCUCUCUUUUUAAAUGUCAGCAACCCAACAUCAUAUAUUGGUGAGAAUUUUUUUCCCCCUUACUUUAACAGGCCCCUAAUAAGUGGCUGAUGUGGGAUGGUAGUGGCUUAACUAUAACCUCUAAUCUAAAAAAGAUCUUAACGCUUGAUAUGACAUGAAGUGGCUAGUUGAAUGUGAAAGGGAUUAAAUUCAUGCUUUGACUCAACUGCUGGAGCUCUUUUGCUCUCUUGAAUUUUUUUUUACACCCAUAAGAAACUAACUCCACUUUGUAAGAGGUAUAACUGUGAGCAAAUCCUACAUCUCCAUGGCAUAAGUAAUGAUGCAUGUAAUUCAGGAACCAUAUUUUGAGUUGAUGGGAGGUGGAAUAUGCCUAGUUUAUGCUAACAGAACAGUGCUCAACAGUAUGUGAGUAACAAUCCAUGAUUUUCCCAACUAUCUUUGUAAACUGUUAUUUAUAAAAUUCCAGCAUGUGCUAUAAGAAUUUAGAAUUGCAAGUUUACAUACCAACAGUAUACUUGCAUAUUCAG
rnacentral:misc_RNA from 1 species